AACGAACGCUGGCGGCAUGCCUAACACAUGCAAGUCGAACGAGACCUUCGGGUCUAGUGGCGCACGGGUGCGUCACGCGUGGGAACCUGCCCUUAGUUUCGUAAUAUCUCCCCUACAGUGGUGCCAAUACCGGAUAAUUUCUUCGGGACAAAGAUUUAUCGGCCUUGGAUGGGCGCGCGUUGGAUUAGCUAGUUGGUAGGGUCAAAGCCUACCAAGGCGACGAUCCAUAGCUGGUCUGAGAGGAUGCUCAGCCACACUGGGACUGAGACACGGCCCAGACCCCUACGCGAGGCAGCAGUGGGGUAUAUUGGACAAGGGGCGAAAGCCUGAUACAGCAAUGCCGCGUGAGUGAUGAAGGCCUUAGGGUUGUAAAGCUCUUUUACCCGGGAUGAUAAUGACAGUACCGGGAGAAUAAGCUCCGGCUAACUACGUG
rnacentral:rRNA from 1 species